UGAGUACGAGACGCUAAGGCGUCGAAGUAGUGGAUGUCAUACUUCCAAGAAAAGCUUGCACUGUCAUAAAUAAAGAACGCCUGUACCAUAACCGACACAGGUGGGUAGGUAGAGUAUACUAAGGGGCGCGAGAUAACUCUCUCUAAGGAACUCGGCAAAAUAACUCCGUAACUUCGGGAGAAGGAGUGCCUUAUUCGUAAGGCUGCAAUAACAAGAUCCAAGCAACUGUUUAUCAAAAACACAGGUCUCCGCUAAGUCGUAAGACGAUGUAUGGGGGCUGACGCCUGCCCAGCGCCAGAAGGUUAAAGAAGUCGGUUAGCAUUAGCGAAGCUGGUAACUGAAGCCCUGGUGAACGGCGGCCGUAACUAUAACGGUCCUAAGGUAGCGAAAUUCCUUGUCGGGUAAGUUCCGACCCGCACGAAAGGCGUAAUGAUUUGGAUACUGUCUCGGAGAGGGGCUCGGUGAAAUAGACUUGUCUGUGAAGAUGCGGACUACCUGCACCAGGACAGAAAGACCCUAUGAAGCUUUACUGUAACUUGAAAUUGAAAUUGGACUUUAUUCGCGCAGUAUAGGUGGGAGGUGUUGAUUAUAAUCUUGCGGGAUUAUUGGAGCCAUCAGUGAGAUACCACUCUUGUAAUGUUAGAUUUCUAACUUUGAAUCAUUAUCUGGUCAAAGAACAGUUUCAGGCGGGCAGUUUGACUGGGGCGGUCGCCUCCUAAAUGGUAACGGAGGCGUACAAAGGUUUCCUCUGAACGGGUAGAAAUCGUAUCUAGAGUGUAAAGGCAUAAGGAAGCUUGACUGUGAGACCUACAAGUCGAGCAGGGACGAAAGUCGGUCUUAGUGAUCUGACGGUACUGAGUGGAAAGGCCGUCACUCAACGGAUAAAAGUUACUCUAGGAUAGCAGGCUGAUCUCCCCCAAGAGUUCACAUCGACGGGGAGGUUUGGCACCUCGAUGUCGGCUCAUCGCAUCCUGGGGCGGUAGUACGUCCCAAGGGUUGGGCUGUUCGCCCAUGAAAGCGGUACGCGAGCUGGGUUCAGAACGUCGUGAGACAGUUCGGUCCAUAUCCGGUGUAGGCGUUAGAAUAUUGAGAGGAGCCUUCUUUAGUACGAGAGGACCGAGAAGGACAUACCUCUGGUGUACCAGUUAUCGUGCCAACGGUAAACGCUGGGUAGCUAUGUAUGGAGUGGAUAACCGCUGAAAGCAUCUAAGUGGGAAGCCCACCUCAAGAUAAGUAUUCU
rnacentral:rRNA from 1 species